GACGAACGCUGGCGGCGUGCUUAACACAUGCAAGUCGAACGGAAAGGCCCUGCUUUUGUGGGGUGCUCGAGUGGCGAACGGGUGAGUAACACGUGAGUAACCUGCCCUUGACUUUGGGAUAACUUCAGGAAACUGGGGCUAAUACCGGAUAGGAGCUCCUGCUGCAUGGUGGGGGUUGGAAAGUUUCGGCGGUUGGGGAUGGACUCGCGGCUUAUCAGCUUGUUGGUGGGGUAGUGGCUUACCAAGGCUUUGACGGGUAGCCGGCCUGAGAGGGUGACCGGCCACAUUGGGACUGAGAUACGGCCCAGACUCCUACGGGAGGCAGCAGUGGGGAAUAUUGCACAAUGGGCGGAAGCCUGAUGCAGCAACGCCGCGUGCGGGAUGACGGCCUUCGGGUUGUAAACCGCUUUCGCCUGUGACGAAGCGUGAGUGACGGUAAUGGGUAAAGAAGCACCGGCUAACUACGUGCCAGCAGCCGCGGUGAUACGUAGGGUGCGAGCGUUGUCCGGAUUUAUUGGGCGUAAAGGGCUCGUAGGUGGUUGAUCGCGUCGGAAGUGUAAUCUUGGGGCUUAACCCUGAGCGUGCUUUCGAUACGGGUUGACUUGAGGAAGGUAGGGGAGAAUGGAAUUCCUGGUGGAGCGGUGGAAUGCGCAGAUAUCAGGAGGAACACCAGUGGCGAAGGCGGUUCUCUGGGCCUUUCCUGACGCUGAGGAGCGAAAGCGUGGGGAGCGAACAGGCUUAGAUACCCUGGUAGUCCACGCUGUAAACGGUGGGUACUAGGUGUGGGGUCCAUUCCACGGGUUCCGUGCCGUAGCUAACGCUUUAAGUACCCCGCCUGGGGAGUACGGCCGCAAGGCUAAAACUCAAAGGAAUUGACGGGGCCCCGCACAAGCGGCGGAGCAUGCGGAUUAAUUCGAUGCAACGCGUAGAACCUUACCUGGGUUUGACAUGGAUCGGGAGUGCUCAGAGAUGGGUGUGCCUCUUUUGGGGUCGGUUCACAGGUGGUGCAUGGCUGUCGUCAGCUCGUGUCGUGAGAUGUUGGGUUAAGUCCCGCAACGAGCGCAACCCUUGUUCACUGUUGCCAGCACGUUAUGGUGGGGACUCAGUGGAGACCGCCGGGGUCAACUCGGAGGAAGGUGGGGAUGACGUCAAGUCAUCAUGCCCCUUAUGUCCAGGGCUUCACGCAUGCUACAAUGGCUGGUACAGAGAGUGGCGAGCCUGUGAGGGUGAGCGAAUCUCGGAAAGCCGGUCUCAGUUCGAAUUGGGGUCUGCAACUCGACCUCAUGAAGUCGGAGUCGCUAGUAAUCGCAGAUCAGCAACGCUGCGGUGAAUACGUUCCCGGG
rnacentral:rRNA from 1 species